rnacentral:rRNA from 1 species
UACGUAGGGGGCAAGCGUUGUUCGGAAUUACUGGGCGUAAAGGGCGCGUAGGCGGCACGGCAAGUCAGGAGUGAAAGCCCGGGGCUCAACCCCGGAACGUCUUUUGAAACUGCCGAGCUAGAGUGCGGAAGAGGCAACUGGAAUUCCCAGUGUAGCGGUGAAAUGCGUAGAUAUUGGGAAGAACACCUGAGGCGAAGGCGGGUUGCCUGGGCCGACACUGACGCUGAGGCGCGAAAGCCAGGGGAGCGAACGGG